rnacentral:rRNA from 1 species
AUGAACGCUGGCGGCGUGCCUAAUACAUGCAAGUCGAGCGAACGGACGAGAAGCUUGCUUCUCUGAUGUUAGCGGCGGACGGGUGAGUAACACGUGGAUAACCUACCUAUAAGACUGGGAUAACUUCGGGAAACCGUAGCUAAUACCGGAUAAUAUUUUGCACCGCAUGGUUCAAAAGUGAAAGACGGUCUUGCUGUCACUUAUAGAUGGAUCCGCGCUGCAUUAGCUAGUUGGUAAGGUAACGGCUUACCAAGGCAACGAUGCAUAGCCGACCUGAGAGGGUGAUCGGCCACACUGGAACUGGGACACGGUCCAGACUCCUACGGGAGGCAGCAGUAGGGAAUCUUCCGCAAUGGGCGAAAGCCUGACGGAGCAACGCCGCGUGAGUGAUGAAGGUCUUCGGAUCGUAAAACUCUGUUAUUAGGGAAGAACAUAUGUGUAAGUAACUGUGCACAUCUUGACGGUACCUAAUCAGAAAGCCACGGCUAACUACGUG